rnacentral:rRNA from 1 species
UCUGAAUAUGGGGGGACCAUCCUCCAAGGCUAAAUACUCCUGACUGACCGAUAGUGAACCAGUACCGUGAGGGAAAGGCGAAAAGAACCCCGGCGAGGGGAGUGAAAAAGAACCUGAAACCGUGUACGUACAAGCAGUGGGAGCCCCACCACUAAGCCAGUGGUGAACUCCACAUACGCAUCCUUUGCUGAGGAUACGGUUAACGGAGCGAAAGCGACGUUCAACCUCAAAAGAAGCAGAGGGGGCUUAGUGGUGGGGUGACUGCGUACCUUUUGUAUAAUGGGUCAGCGACUUAUAUUCUGUAGCAAGGUUAACCGAAUAGGGGAGCCGGAGGGAAACCGAGUCUUAAUUGGGCGUUAAGUUGCAGGGUAUAGACCCGAAACCCGGUGAUCUAGCCAUGGGUAGGUUGAAGGUUGGGUAACACUAACUGGAGGACCGAACCGACUAAUGUUGAAAAAUUAGCGGAUGACCUGUGGCUGGGGGUGAAAGGCCAAUCAAACCGGGAGAUAGCUGGUUCUCCCCGAAAGCUAUUUAGGUAGCGCCUCGUGAACUCAUCUCCGGGGGUAGAGCACUGUUUCGGCUAGGGGGCCAUCCCGGCUUACCAACCCGAUGCAAACUGCGAAUACCGGAGAAUGUUAUCACGGGAGACACACGGCGGGUGCUAACGUCCGUCGUGAAGAGGGAAACAACCCAGACCGCCAGCUAAGGUCCCAAAGUCAUGGUUAAGUGGGAAACGAUGUGGGAAGGCCCAGACAGCCAGGAUGUUGGCUUAGAAGCAGCCAUCAUUUAAAGAAAGCGUAAUAGCUCACUGGUCGAGUCGGCCUGCGCGGAAGAUGUAACGGGGCUAAACCAUGCACCGAAGCUGCGGCAGCGAACGUAUCACCCAAGACAACUUUGCGGAGUUGACGAUUGACGGAGCGAAGCGACGUCAAAGCGUUCAUUAAAGUCGAGUUGGCUUAGGGAUACGUUCGUUGGGUAGGGGAGCGUUCUGUAAGCCAGUGAAGGUGUGUCGUGAGGCAUGCUGGAGGUAUCAGAAGUGCGAAUGCUGACAUAAGUAACGAUAAAGCGGGUGAAAAGCCCGCUCGCCGGAAGACCAAGGGUUCCUGUCCAACGUUAAUCGGGGCAGGGUGAGUCGACCCCUAAGGCGAGGCCGAAAGGCGUAGUCGAUGGGAAACAGGUUAAUAUUCCUGUACUUGGUGUUACUGCGAAGGGGGGACGGAGAAGGCUAUGUUGGCCGGGCGACGGUUGUCCCGGUUUAAGCGUGUAGGUGUGUGUUCCAGGUAAAUCCGGUUCACUUUAACACUGAGGCGUGAUGACGAGGCACUACGGUGCUGAAGCAACAAAUGCCCUGCUUCCAGGAAAAGCCUCUAAGCAUCAGGUAACAUCAAAUCGUACCCCAAACCGACACAGGUGGUCAGGUAGAGAAUACCAAGGCGCUUGAGAGAACUCGGGUGAAGGAACUAGGCAAAAUGGUGCCGUAACUUCGGGAGAAGGCACGCUGACACGUAGG